rnacentral:rRNA from 1 species
GACGAACGCUGGCGGCGUGCUUAACACAUGCAGGUCGAACGGAAAGGCCCUGCUUUUGUGGGGUGCUCGAGUGGCGAACGGGUGAGUAACACGUGAGUAACCUGCCCUUGACUUUGGGAUAACUUCAGGAAACUGGGGCUCAUACCGGAUAGAAGCUCCUGCUGCAUGUUGGGGGUUGGAAAGUUUCGGCGGUUGUGGAUGGACUCGCGGCUUAUCAGCUUGUUGGUGGGGUAGUGGCUUACCAAGGCUUUGACGGGUAGCCGGCCUGAGAGGGUGACCGGCCACAUUGGGACUGAGAGACGGCCCAGACUCCUACGGGAGGCAGCAGUGGGGAAUAUUGCACAAUGGGCGGAAGCCUGAUGCAGCAACGCCGCGUGCGGGAUGACGGCCUUCGGGUUGUAAACCGCUUUCGCCUGUGACGAAGCGUGAGUGACGGUAAUGGGUAAAGAAGCACCGGCUAACUACGUG